AGAAAGGAAUACCAACACAUCAUGAAAAGACGCAUGAAAAGCCGGGUCCCAGAGAUGACCACCCCAUAUUCUGUAAAAAGAAUCCAAAACCGAGCCCAACUACCAAACCACCUAGUACACCACUGGGAACCACUGUGCAGCACAGAACUACAAUGAGCAGUGAUGAACCGAAAAGAGGAGACAAUUAAUUAUUUCAUACUGUGUCAUUAAAUGAGCACCAUGGUUAUAGCUGAUGUUUGGUGACCUCUUAACAUGUUU